UACGAAGGGGGCUAGCGUUGUUCGGAAUUACUGGGCGUAAAGCGCGUGUAGGCGGGUCUUUAAGUCAGGGGUGAAAUGCCAAGGCUCAACCUUGGAACUGCCUUUGAUACUGGAGAUCUUGAGUCCAGGAGAGGUGAGUGGAAUUGCGAGUGUAGAGGUGAAAUUCGUAGAUAUUCGCAAGAACACCAGUGGCGAAGGCGGCUCACUGGCCCGGAACUGACGCUGAGACGCGAAAGCGUGGGGAGCAAACAGG
rnacentral:rRNA from 1 species